GACGAACGCUGGCGGCGUGCUUAACACAUGCAAGUCGAACGGAAAGGCCCUGCUUUUGUGGGGUGCUCGAGUGGCGAACGGGUGAGUAACACGUGAGUAACCUGCCCUUGACUUUGGGAUAACUUCAGGAAACUGGGGCUAAUACCGGAUAGGAGCUCCUGCUGCAUGGUGGGGGUUGGAAAGUUUCGGCGGUUGGGGAUGGACUCGCGGCUUAUCAGCUUGUUGGUGGGGUAGUGGCUUACCAAGGCUUUGACGGGUAGCCGGCCUGAGAGGGUGACCGGCCACAUGGGGACUGGGAUACGGCCCAGACUCCUCCGGGGGGAAGCAGUGGGAAUAUUGCACAAUGGGCGGAAGCCUGAUGCAGCAACGCCGCGUGCGGGAUGACGGCCUUCGGGUUGUAAACCGCUUUCGCCUGUGACGAAGCGUGAGUGACGGUAAUGGGUAAAGAAGCACCGGCUAACUACGUG
rnacentral:rRNA from 1 species